AGAAUGAACGCUGGCGGCGUGCCUAACACAUGCAAGUCGAACGAGAAAGUGGAGCAAUCCAUGAGUAAAGUGGCGCACGGGUGAGUAACACGUGACUAACCUACCCUUGAGUGGGGGAUAAACCUAGGGAAACCUGGGCUAAUACCGCAUAAUACCUUCGGGUCAAAGGAGCAAUUCGCUUAAGGAGGGGGUCGCGGCCGAUUAGUUAGUUGGCGGGGUAAUGGCCCACCAAGACUGUGAUCGGUA
rnacentral:rRNA from 1 species